GACGAACGCUGGCGGCGUGCUUAACACAUGCAAGUCGAACGGAAAGGCCCUGCUUUUGUGGGGUGCUCGAGUGGCGAACGGGUGAGUAACACGUGAGUAACCUGCCCUUGACUUUGGGAUAACUUCAGGAAACUGGGGCUAAUACCGGAUAGGAGCUCCUGCUGCAUGGUGGGGGUUGGAAAGUUUCGGCGGUUGGGGAUGGACUCGCGGCUUAUCAGCUUGUUGGUGGGGUAGUGGCUUACCAAGGCUUUGACGGGUAGCCGGCCGGAGAGGGUGACCGGCAAAUUGGGAGCGGAGUGAGGCCCCGGCCCCACAGGGGAGGGAGGGGGGGGGAUUGUGGAACAGGGGGGGGAAGCCUGAGGAAGCAAGCCCGGGGGCGGGAGGGGGGCUUUGGGGUUGAAACCCUUUUUCCCCUGGAAGGGAGGGUAAGGGAGGUAAGGGGGAAAAAAGCACCGGCUAAAUAAGUU
rnacentral:rRNA from 1 species